AGUUUUAAAGUAUUUGUAAAACCUGGAGUAGCUCAUAGUGUCCCUCCUGACAUGGAUUAGGUGGUCACGCUAGAUGUGUCAUAUCAAUGCUGAUACAGCAACACACUUUUCUAAAUGUAGGCUUACCUAACUUGAUGUCCUUGUGAGCCCAGUACACAGCUAAUUUCCCUUUGUUUAAAUCCCUGGUUGAAUAACAACAUUAUCAUUGCAUCUACAAAAUUAAAUGUGACAACCACCUUUCUAUUACCACCUCUACCAGCCAAACAUGUUAUGGGAUUUAAAUCUAAUUACACCCCAAAUUCAAAAUUAAAAAUAAUUACCACAUAAGUAAGACAAAUGUAUUUUAUUUCAACAUUUUUUCAAAAGGCUACUUUUCUUCUCAAUAACUUAGUGGACUAGUAACUUUACAUCAUAUAAUAAACUGUGAUAACAGCUUCAAACAAAGCCAGUGUCAAACUGCCAUAGUUGGAUACUCCUUUUGCAUUCCUUGCCAGAUGACAUCUUGAACAAAUGUCUGGAAAAAAAAUAAAUCUAAGCAAAAUAGUAGCGAACAAUAAUAGUUCUACAUUUUUAUAUUAAAUGUAUUAAAAAAAUUUUUUUUAAGUUUUUUCUGAUGCCGUUUUGUCCGAGUCCGCUUUGUCUGAGUCCGUUUGUUCUGAUGCCGUUUUGUCUGAAGUCUGACGGUUUUUUUCCUGACACCCGAGUCCGUUUUGUCUGAGUUCGAUGUCUGAUGCCGUUUUGUCUGAAGUUUGACGGAUUUUUUCAUAAGACCUGAGGAUGUCCUAAAAUGAACACCGUAUCAAAAAGACCCUAUUCAAAUGUGUCUAGCAUUUAACUAGAAAAGAUGGGAUAGACAACAAUGUACAACCCUAUUUGCAAAAAAGUUGUGAGGCUGUGUUAAAUUCAAAUUUUCAAAUCAGACAAAAAAACCUCAAAAUCCCUAUUGAAUAGACUCGAACUUUCAAACACAUGUUUUAUCAGAUACGUAGUAUCAUUCAUGUCUUAUAUCACUGGGAUCUGAGAGAAACGUUUCAACGCAUUCUGAAAGCGCUUAAAUCCGACGUUAUCAAGGACCGACAAUGGUUGAUUAUCAAAAACAAUAUAUUGGGCAAAAAAUAUCCCACCUCUGCCGGAAAAUGUGGAGACCACAUGACCAUAACUCAGCAGCUAGCUGCAUUGGGCUGUACGUACGCCUGUGUCAGAAUGGGGUGAGUAUGUGACGCCAACUAAUAAGCUUUAAUGGUCUGAAUGUCUUAAGACGUUGAAAAUUAAUGCAAGACGCACGUUUUCAACAUCAUAAGAUGUACAAAUCUGAUGUGUUGAUUCGGAGGAUGUGUGGCACGGUGGCGCAGUUGUUAGUGCUGCUGCUUCACAGGAAGAAGGUCCUGGGUUUGGUGCCUUUCCUGCCUGCACCCAUUGUUCCCAGGAUGGGCCCCGGUCCCCCCCGCGACCCCAGUUGGGAUUAAGUGGUUACGGUGAUGGAUGGAUGGCAUCAGAGGAUUUUGACCCCGAUGGCAUUCCAUACAUUCUGUUAAUGUGUAAAAACGUGUUAACAUGUACAAAAUUAGCAUGAUAGCGUGUCAGGUUUGAGUGUGUUAAUGCAAAAAAGCUAAUAUGUUUUGACCCUUUUGAUAGAGAAAGUCCUGUAUCUCUGCAGAAGAGAUACUUGUGGAGGCUGCACCAGCUCCCGUGUGACACUUAUUAACUAGUCAGUUUAGACUUUAGUCAUAUUUUUAAUAGGUUAGUAGUGAAACAUCUAUGCAUAUCCACUCUGUGAAUAUACUAUUUGUCAAGUCAUGCCACUGUUGUUUUGUUUAUGAAGUUGUUCAAUAAAGAAAAUGCAAGCAAUAACAUAGACAGCCUGUAGGGACCAGGCAGCAGUGAAAUGGACGCAAUAUUCAAUUCAAUUCAAUUCAAUUCAAUUCAAUUCAAUUCAAUUCACAAUGGAUUCACCCCAAGGCACUUCACAUGGGUGUGUUGUGAUAUUAGGUGGUAGUACUUAACAGGGAAAAGGAAAGACAACAAGAUUAGACCUCGAAAGCAAGAUGACAAUGGAGCAGAGGAACCAAAAACUACCAAAUAAGGAGAAAAAAACCUGUGGGGGUCAGAGGUCAACUUGCUGCCCAACCCCCCUGGGCAUGCCAACUUUAUUCAGAACAGAAAAGAGUGGACUUGCUUGCUAAAAACAAGGUAUAAGCUGUGAUUAAGUCCAUCAGUGAGGCUGUUCUCCACACUGGCCUGUGUAGGGUGGCAGAUUGAACACUGCACCCACGAUAUUACAGUUCGUAAGUCACAUCCACAAUGUUACCCUUCCAGGGACUGAACCAGAACUCCAGCUCAGAUGGGCCCACCCCAGGCACCUUCCGGACAUGUGGGAGGGAAGGCAGGGAGCGUGGAGAGUCAGAACCUGCAUAGACACACUAACGGAGAAGCACAGUAUAUAAAAAUGGCCUGUACAGCAGCACCAGCAUCCACAGAUACGGUGUGUUAUGUCUUAGGUCCCAGCUUUUGCCAUCAGGAAAGAGAUACAGAACAAUGAAAAUCAGGACAAACCGCCUAAAGAACAGUUUUUAUCUUAAACUCUAAACAGAACUGUUAAUUUUCAUAUUCAUAAGUGCAAUUUAAAUAUCCAGUGCAAUAUGUAGAGUUAGUGCAAUUUGUAUAUUUUUUAGUAUAUUCUUUUAUUACUCGUGCCUCACAUUGAGUCGCCUGCACUUUCGCAAUUUCGUUGUCAAGUGACGUCAGACUUCAGUGACACUUGCCAUAUCUCACAAAUAUGGUGACACAGACAUGUAAGCCAAUAAUUUUAGUGAUCAGUGUUGACACACCACAGCACACAACAACGAAAUGUGUCCUCUGCAUUUAACCCAUAUGUGACAUCGUCACAUUGCAGGGGGCAGCUAAUUCAGUGCCCAGGGAGCAGUGAUGGGUGGUACCCUGCUGGUCAGGGAUUUGAACCAGCAAUCUUUAAAUUACAAGUGCACUUCCCUAACCAUUAAGACACCACUGCUCGCUAAUUCAAAUGGCACUCCUGUUCAGGGUUACAUGGUACAACAAAUAUGACACAGUUAUGAUAUUUACUAUUUACAGGAUAAAUACACAAAUACAUAUAUUACUGUACACUAGUUUGAAGCUUUCUGGUACACUGCAUAAUUCGUUCUGCCCGCCAACCUCACAGCAUUACAUUGCCCCCACAUAAGGGGUCAGUCAUUCCUGGCAACCCCCAAGUACACCACAAAGUCACGAAGAUGUGGCAGAGGCUGGUGUUGUCCUACUGUCCCUGCGGUGCCAGACGUCCCUCCCUCUGCCAGAGUGUCCUGGUCCAUGGCCGCUGCAAGAACGUCAGGUCUGGCCAGGGGGCAAUACAGGGCAAGAGGAUCCCUGGACGGGACCACAGCCUUUCACUGCUUGGGCAGCCGCAGGCAAACUGGGUCCCUGGCACUAAAGUUCUGCCUGCGGCUGUGUGCAUAGUAGGUACUCUUCUGUUGGGUGGUUGCUGUGCCCUGGUUUUGCUGGGCCAGCUCGUGUAUGUUUUUCAGGCUCUCACGCACUUUAUACCUUACUCCCUCAGGACCACCGACUCAGGGGGCAAUCUGAACACCAAUUCCACUGGUGUGUGCAGCCCCCAAAUCAGAACAGCCUGUUGCUUGAGUGCUCUCCUACACCGCUACUUAGUAUGCCCACAGGGACAGGUGGAGGUCCCAGUGAUGCUGGUGGUCGGUGACUAGGAUGGUGAGCAGUGUAGUGAACACACAAUUAAUCCACUCCUCGAGCCUAUUGCUUUCUGGGUGAAGGGGGGUGGUCAGGGUCUUUGUAAUGCCCAGCCGACUGUAGAUCACACCAAACACUUGCACCUCAAAGUUUCACCCCUGGUUGCUGUGUAUCUCUUCCAAUACACCAAAGCACCAGAAGAAUUCCUCGAUAAGCUUCUCAGCCGUGGUCACUGUACUCUGAUCGGGAACCAUGUGCACCUUAGGCAACUUGGUAAAAUUAUCCAUUAGCAUGAGCACGUAGCCGUUCCCAGCCUCAUUGCAGGGAAAGGGACCUAAGAUGUCCACCCCGACUCUCUUCAUGGGAGCCCCCACCUGGGUGAUGCAUGCAUUGCAGCAGUGCACAAACAGAUCCGUCUCCUGGCUGCAGCCAGGCUAAUAGAGGCUGCAACGUAGUUUUUGCUGCUCCAAAGUGCCUGACUCUGGUCAGUCUAUGCUUCAUCUUCUGGACCGUUGGAAGGAGACUUUGGGGCACCAGCAGCUACAACAGUUGCUUCUUGCCAUCCAGGGACUGAGCAGAGAGUGAGGGCCAUGAUUUCUGUGUUAAAUGCAGUGACCUCCCUCCAUUAUGGCUGCAUCGCUGCUUGCAACCAACCCCUGACUCAAGCCUGCACUGGCUCGUUUGCCUGGACUAAAGUGUUAACUUGCAUCCACUGAAGAUCGAUGGUCUUCAGUCCCUCAUUGCUGAUAUCCCGCUGGGGCACAAACCCACCUCAGGCUGUACUCCUCAGUGCAGCGGCAGUGACAGAAGUUGCCCAUAUAGCAGGGGCAAUGAGAGAGAGCAUUAGUGCUGCCAUGGAGCCUGCCCGGUUGGUGCUGGACCUCAAAGUCAUACCAUUGUAGAACCACCAGUCUGCGUACCAGCUGUCCCUCGGGAUCGCAGAAGCUUAACAACCAGGUGAAGGAGGAAGGGUGGAAAUGAUGACUGGCUUUGGCAGCAAGGUGCUUGUAGAAGGUUAAAUAGUAUUUUCUUUCAGGGAGGCUCAGUGUCUGACUGAAAUAAGCCACCACCAUGAAUGAAUGUUUGUUGCAUUAAUAUAUUGCUUUUCAAGACACCCAAAGCGCUUCUACAGUACCAAUGAGGAGUCACUUCAACCACCACCGCUGUAUUGUACCCACCUGGAUAAUGCGAUGGCAGCCAUUCUGUGCCAGUAUGCCCACCACACAGUAGUUAAGGUGGUGAAAGGGCAAAAGAGAAUUUACCCAUUAGAUGCAGGGGAUGAAUAGGAGGCCAGAUUUGAUAGGGCCACAGUGGGCAAUUUUUAGCCAGGACAUAGAGGUAACACCCCUACUCUUUUGAAAGAUGCCCAGGGAUCAUUUAUGACCUCACAGAGUCAGGACAUUAGGUUACCUCAGAUGGCUGAAAGUGGUGGCAAAGUUCUCAGUCCACUCAAAUAGCUGCCCCUUUUCUUUGAGGCAGUGGAGCGGUUUAGUGGUACUGACGAAGUUCGUUAUGAACCACUGGUGAUACGAGGCAAGCCCCAGAAAGCUGCAGAGCUCAGCGGUGCUUCACAGGGUGAGCCAUUUCGUCACCACUGCUAUCUUUCUUGGGUCUGCCAUCACACAUUCACUGCUCAUUAUGUGACCCAAGAACUGUGCCUGUUUCUGAAGGAGGGAACACUUCAAGGGAGCACAGGUCAGCCUUGUGAAUAGCAGCAGUAAUCGGGCACAGGUUGUUUAGUGCCCCCUCAAAAUCUGCAAUGUGAGUGAGCAGGUCAUCCAGGUGGACAGUGCACUGGCUUUUGAAGUCGGCAGGGGCAUUGCAGAUUCCGAACGGCAUUACCCAAAAGUGCCAUAAACCUUGACUAAUGAUGAACACGGUGCUGGGUUGAGAAUCCAGGGCCAGUUUGACCUGCCAAUAGCCACAUUGACCUGAAUCUAAUCCAAUGCAUCAUUGAUGUGGGGCAGCAGACCAAUUGUUCUGGGUCAAAAAAUGGAAGUCACCAUGACCCACCCUUCUUAUUUACCAGGACUGCAGGUGCAGCAUAUGGACUGUCCGAAGGCUCAAUGGCUCCCACUGCUACCGUCUCCUGGAUCUUCUACUCCGCUGCCUGAAGCUUGUGGUUGCCAUCUCGGUGAAGGUUCAUCAUAUCCAUGCCAAAAUGUAGUGUGUCCCUGGUGACAUUGAUACGAACGCCCCAGAAGGGACCGCAAGUCAAGCUCAAUGAAGAAUGGAUCACGGAUCUCAGCCUCCUACACUUCUUGCUCUGUGGUCCACCCUGCUAGCAUGAGGCUAAGCCACCUCCUCUCAUUCAUCGGCACACACACGCUAGUGACAGAUGCGAGUUGGACCUGUGUUGCCUCCCAUCCCAGCAAAUCCAGCUGGUUGGUGCCUGAGAGGACACCUGAAUGAAUGAGGGUGAUGAUUCAUCCCGUGUCCACCAAAGUUCAACAAUCGGUGACCACUACUAUGCAAUUCGUGUAGUUGCGGCACUUGUGGCCCAUCCGGCUCACUUGAUGAUACAGGGGCAAGGUCUCAUCAGUGGGGCAGCUCCUUGAUGGUACUCCUGGCAUUGCAGGCUCAGCUUUGCAGUGGGUGGCAUGGCAUGGCUGGUGGGCAGUGUGAUGUUGCUGGUGGAGAGUGGAUUACCUCAGCCCUCUCUGCUUCCGCCACAGAUUCUGGGCUCAGUGUAAGAUAUAGGGCGAGCAGUUCAGACAUUUGGGAGGGGCUCAAAGUAGAGCCCAUGCUCAUCUGCAUCAAAAGCCAAAAGGUGGUUCAGGAACUUAUCUAGGAUGUCUCCUAUGCACCUCCCUGGGGAGGUGCUUUGGGCAUGUCCAACCAGGAGGAGACCCCAGAGAAGACCCAGGGCACGUUGGAGUGAUUAUAUCUCUUGACUGGCCUGGGAACACCUUGGCAUUCCCCCAGUGGAGCUAGAGGUGGCAGGUGAGAGGGAGGUCUGGGCAUCCUUGCUUCGACUGCUGCCCCCAUGACCUAACCUCGGAAUAUAACAGCAGAUAAUGGAUGGUUGGAUGGAUGGAGAUUCUGGAUGAUGUUAACUUGUAAUAAUGUUACUCUAAAGCCUUUUACUUUCAUUUUUUAUAGCCAACUAAGGUUAAAAUAACAGCUUAAUGAUCAGAUUUCAAUAUUGUUCACCUAUGUAUGUUGAAGCAGCACUCUCUACACUCCAUACACACACAGACACACACACACACACACACUCAAACAUAUCAUACUGAGAGCGUUCCAGUUUAAAGUCACAGACAAGGAAGGGUUUGGCCACACCUGUCCAUAGAACCGUUUGUUUUUUUGGUGUUGGUGGGGGGUGAGUGUCGGGGGUCUACAUCCAACAUC